GUGAAAUGUGAAUCAUUCAUUUCUCUUAAUGCUAGGCUCAUUCUAAUGGCACAUGAUUCUCGUUAGAAUUUUGAAGGGUUGCUUUGUUUCUGUGAAGGCUUUUGUCUUCAUCCUAAUCCUAUGCCCCUUUUCAAGCCUUUUUGCUAGAUAGGUGCAAUUUUUAUGGGAGUUACCUUGAAGCAAACGCACUUGAUGUUGAAUUAUUGUUAUCUUUAGGUGUUUGCAGAUGA
rnacentral:misc_RNA from 1 species